rnacentral:lncRNA from 1 species
CAAUGCACAAGUGAAGCUGGAAAACCGCACCAAGUGACAAACUGUGAAGUAACAGCUCAGCCUUCACAGAGUGGAUAUGCUCUGUGCUAUUUCUGGCCAGAGCAGAUGUGGCCUUGAUGGACAGUGGGGAACGGCCUCUCGCAGGAAAUGCCAGUUGCAAUUUACCAAAGUGAUUGUAUAAUCCAAUGAAGCAUCUCCACUGACAAUCUGAAAAAACAUUGAUCUGGGAUACA